rnacentral:rRNA from 1 species
CCUACGGGGGGCAGCAGUGAGGAAUAUUGGUCAAUGGGCGAGAGCCUGAACCAGCCAAGUCGCGUGAAGGAUGACGGCCCUACGGGUUGUAAACUUCUUUUGUCAGGGAGCAAUUGAGUCCACGUGUGGUCUUAGCGAGAGUACCUGAAGAAAAAGCAUCGGCUAACUCCGUGCCAGCAGCCGCGGUAAUACGGAGGAUGCGAGCGUUAUCCGGAUUUAUUGGGUUUAAAGGGUGCGUAGGUUGUUUUUUAAGUCAGCGGUGAAAGUUUGUGGCUCAACCAUAAAAUUGCCGUUGAAACUGGAAGACUUGAGUGUGUUUGAGGUAGGCGGAAUGCGUGGUGUAGCGGUGAAAUGCAUAGAUAUCACGCAGAACUCCGAUUGCGAAGGCAGCUUACUAAGCCAUAACUGACACUGAAGCACGAAAGCGUGGGGAUCAAACAGGAUUAGAUACCCCUGUAGUC